CGACUGAGCCACCCAGGUGUCCCUGUUGGUGAUUCUUAAUAUGUGAAAAGUUUGUUUUAUGGGUUCUUCAGGUUUUUUGGGUGGGUAAAAAUUGAUCAGGUAACAAAGUUAUAGACUUGCUCAAAAUGAAAUGAAAAGAAAUGUGUAUUUCAUCACUUUUCAGUAAUAUCUGCCAGGCAGGCUCUUCGUGCAGACGUCUCCGGGCCCUGGUGCAGGGUUAACUGUACUGGAGGUGUGAGCUCGGCUGCGGCAGGCCUGUUGUUGCUAGAAUGUGACAUGAGUCAUGAGCUUGAAGUAGCCACCCUGCUACAGAAGACCACACACUGCACUCGUGUUCGUAGGUGGGGUGAGGACACUCUGCACUCCCCUUCUUGAGCGUCGGAAGUCCGGGGCAGGGCGCGUCUGAACACACUUUGAUGAUAGAAAAUGAAGCAUUCUUGUUGCAGAAAGGUCUGCAUCCAUUCAGAAAUGUGUUUGCAGAGCCCUGUGGUGACUUUGGGGUCCAGUCUGGAGCUAGAGCCUUCUAUCACCAUGAGGGUUAGUUGGUCACAGAGGAAGAGUAACCUUGGAAAAGAGCAACUCUCAGGCUGACCCUUACAGGCCGGGUGGCCCCCGGAGUCCCAGUUUCCUCAUCUCUAAACUGCAGGAUGUUCUAUUUCCAUCGACAAACAUGCUUGCUUCCCCCGUGUUCUAGAAUCUUCUUUUGGUCCUGCUGAACAAGGAGCUGAAGCCAUCUUCCCAUCUCUUGUCGUCUGGGCUCUGGGGCUCCUAGAACACCCAUCUCUGUGGGGGCACGACGCAGCGUCCCAGUGCACCAGGUCCCGCUACUCCUGGGUGCCUCCAUCAGGUCCGCAGUUCCGCAGAAGCCUGUUUUAGCACCAGCCUUGGCGCCCCCGUGUCCCCCCUUGCCCUCCCUCUCAUCCUGCAGCCAAAGGACACUCGCCACGGGAACUGGGAGCCCCGCCGUUCCUGUUGUCUGUCAGAUAAACUCCGAAUAUCUGAUGCCCAUUCAGGCUCCUACUUGGUCCAGAUUAAUUGAUCUUUCCCAAUCGUACCUCCCCGCUUUUUCUUUAAAAACUCGGCUACGUGCUGCCUUUUUCAAAAGCUGCUCCUACCUGCUCAGCCGGUCGCCGUCUGUUCUGCCUCUGGAUCUCCACAGAGCCAGACAGCACGUGCGCCUGUCCCCCCAGCACCUGAACCAUCUGUGUGGAUGGGCUUUAAGCGUGGGGGCGGUGCUCUGUCAGGAUUUGGGGGGAACUCCCUGGGCAGGGGUGAAGAUGAGAGGGUCAAGAGUCAGCCCUGGAGGACGUUGCCUUGAAUGCGUACCUUGCACAGGAACAGUGGCUCAGUACUUGCUGAAUCCAUGUUCGUGGAGAUGGUAUCACUACGACCCAUCCUGAGAAUCAACUGCAUUUGGCUUAGAGGUCUCCAGCCAAACAGGGUCGUCUUGGCUAGACAUCUCUCAAGGACCCAGAGAUACCAACUUGAGGAGAAUUUGCCCAGGAAAACUGCUACUACACUGGGUAGAAUGGCGAGUUUGGGCCUUCUUGCCCAUCUCACCCAGCUUGGGUGGUGACCAUCUGCAACUUUACCAGCUAUACACAACAGAUUUGAUUCAGGGAGCUGACAGAGCAACUAGAAAUUUAAGGGUGAGGUUUUGGAAGUGAGAGAGCCAAAGAAAAACAUGCAUGAUAAAUUCUCCAUACGUUCAUUCUAGGUUAAUGGCUAAACUUCGUAGGCACACGGGAACCACAGGAGGCCCAGCAAAAAUGGAAAGCAUGGGAGACUGGUAAAUUUACUGUGCUUUUGAAAAUAUCCCUCUAUCUACACACAGCUUAGGCAGUGGAGGUGGAUACAUUGGCUUGAAGUAUCUUAGCAUAACCUCUGCCUAAAUCAUUGCCUGGCUACAAAACUAUGCAGGUGAAGGGAAAACCUAAGAGCCAGACUUAAAAACAUAAAAAUAAUAAGCAGAGAUAUCAAUGGCUAUCCAUUGAAAGUGAGAUAGAUUUGCAGGUUGAGUCAGGCAAGUUAAUUGUCUAUUAAAACCAACAACUCUCAGAACAAAGCAAAGUCCAGAAUUGCUACAAAAUAUUGCCUACAACGUCUAUUUUUAUUUUUAUUUUUAAAGAUUUUAUUUAUUUGUCAGAGUGAGAGAGCACAAGCAGGGGGAGCGGCAGGCACAGGGAGGAAACAGGCUCCCUGCUGAGCAAGGAGCCCGACGCAGGACUCCAUCCCAGGACCCUGGGAUCACCACUGAGCCGAAGGCAGACGCUUAACCAACUGAGCCACCCAGGGACCCCAAUGUCUGCUUUUAAAUGAAAAUUGGCAGACAUGCAAACAAAAGAAAAUAUUUCCCAAACUCAGGGAGGGGAGGUGGAGGGAAACCAGUCAAAGCAACUGGCUCUGAAGGGCUCAGACAUUCUAUCUGGCAAAUAAAGACUUCAAAGCAGCUAUUAAAAAUACGUCCAAAGAAUUAAAGGAAAAUAUACUGACAAUGAAUAAACAAGGAAUCUCAACAGAAAUGGAAAAAAGCAAAUAAAAUUCUAGAGCUUAAAAGUACACUCACUGAAAUAAAAAGUUCAUGGCAUGAGUCACAUGUCAGAAGAAAGAAUAAUUAAAUUUGAUAGAAUAAUAGAAAUUAUCUAAAGAACAAAGAAAAACACCUCAUAGUCAAACUGCUAAAAGCCAGAGGUAAAGAAAAUAUUUUUAAAGGAACAAAAGAAAGAUGUUAUAUACAGGAAACAAUAAACAAUAUGGUUUAUUGCUGACUUUUCCCAGAAACACGAGAAGCCAAAAGACAUUGAAAGCCCAAGAGACUUUGUGAAUUUACUGCAUUUUCUGUAAAAGAACAGUGGUUUCCUAUUCUUUUUAAUGGCUUCCUAUUCUAUUUAAUGACAUAAUCAAGGUGCUGAAGGGGGGGGCAGUGGAAAUUAUAACCAGUAGGUGUCCUUCAAAACUGAAGACAAAAAUAAAGCCAUUUUUAGAUUUUUUUUUUUUUAAAGGGAAAAUAAAACAGAAUUUGUCACUAGCAGACCUGUGCUAAAAAGAAUUGCUAGGGAGAAGUGACUUCAGAUGGUAGUUUGGAUAGUAACUCAGAUACAUAAGAAGGAUUGAAGAAAACCCUAAAUGGAAACAUGUGAAGAUGUAAGAAAUAUAUAUGUAUAAUAUAUAUAUUAUAUAUAAAUGUAUGUAUAUAUUUAUAUGCAUAUAGUAUCUGUAUCUAUGUAUAUGUAUAUGUGUAUAAAUAUAUUUGAAAAACGUAUAAAUAUAUAUGUGAAAUUUAUAUAUACACAUAUAAUUUUUAAUUAAAGACAUGGCCAUAUAAAGCAAAAAUUAUAAUACUGUAUUGUUUGGCUUUAACAUAUAGAAAUUAAUAUAUAUGACAACAAUAGCACCAAAAGUAGCACAAAAAGGAAUGGAGCUAGACAAAUACAAAGUUCCAAUAUUUUAUUAGAAGUUAGUGUUAAUUUCAAACAGACUGUGGUAAGUAAAAGAUGUAUACUGUAAUACUUAGGUAAAGCACUAAAAAUAAUGCAAAGAAAUAUAGUUAAAGUCAAUACAGGAAUUAAGAUGGAACACUAAAACAUUUGUUAACAUAAAGGUACAAGGGUAAAAGAUUAAAAAGAGAGAAAAAUGGGACUUAUAGGAAAAAUUAGUGAAAUGGUAGACUUAUAUUAAGGGGAAUGAACUAAAAAUUCCAAUCAAAAUUCCAACAAACUGUUUGACUGGACAAAAGUGAGAUAUAUUGUCUGUAAGAGAUCAGUUUAAGUUCAAAGAUACAAAUAGAUUAAAGUGAAAGGAUGACAAAAUGUAUAUGAUGCAAACAUAUAAACAGUAAUCAGAAAGGAAAUGGGAUUAUUUUUAUUAAUAUCAGACAAAAUAGACUUUAAAAAUGAAUGUUACUAGAGACAGCAUUUCAUAAUAAAAGGGUCAAUACAACAUAAAUAAGUUAAAUAUUAUAAAUUUAUUUGUACCUAAUAAGAGAGCUCCAAAAUAAAUGAAAUAAAAACAUUAAAAAAAUCAACAAUAUAGUUGAAGAUUUCAAUAUUCUUCUCUCAGUAAUUGAUUGAGAAA